AGCAAUAUAGUGUAAUAGGAAACACCUAAGACUCAUGUUUUUAUAAUGAUAGUUCGACUCUAUCUAUUGCAA